CACUGCAGUCUUGUUUAUUUUCCUAUUUUGUGGAUCCAAGUCUUUCAGCUUCUUCCACCGUGGCUAAGCAGCUAGCAAACUGGUCUCCCUAGAACAACAAUGGACCGGUCGAUUUCGUUGUUUAAUGUCGAUAUGCUAUUGCUUUUCCUAAAUUGCAGAUAUUGCGCUGCUAUCGCUGGGACCGAUUACUGUGUUAUAGCAGCUGAUACUUGAAUGUCUACCGGUUACAAUAUCCUCACCGGCGACUACUCCAAAAUCUCCAAAACUGGGAAUAAACUCGAAAUUGUUGUCUUAAAUCUAAGGAUCUGAGGAAGGAUUGAUGGUGGCUUUCCACUCUGAAUCGGGUAAGAGCUCUUACAGAAGUGGAAUACUUGAAAUUUAGGGAAUGAUCAUGGUUCUUGUGUUAAUGUGUCACUGGCCUAGACUUUGACCAAUCAAACCGUGCAGCCUUAAGUGGAGAAUUGACUUUAAAUUGCCUAACUCAGCCUAAAUCCUCAAAGUUGAAACAACAGAAAGUAAAAAAACUCAAGAAAGCCUUAAAGAGUAAAUGCUCUCCAUUCGUGCCUAUGGCCGCAUGAUUUGCUCAGUUGAAGUCCAAGCUCAUGACAUCUGCUGGUUGUAUUGAACUGUUUUUUUGCAUUCUGACAGUAGUGAUACUUAAAUCUUAGUUGAUUUACCUUUGACAUUAGGCUAAAAUAGACUUGAAUAAUCUUUCAUGGAUGGAAAUGGCAUUAACUCGUGAUUACUCUCUUUUGACUA